AUGUCACAAUGUCUGGUCCCACAACCUACCCCUCGCCAUCUCUCCCUACUCCCUCACUCUACCAGUCUCGCCAUCUCUCUACUCCCUCACUCUACCAGUCUCUCCAUCCCCCUACCCUGCUCUCCUCCAUCUCUACUCCCUCACUCUACCAGUCUCUCCAUCUCUCUCUACUCCCUCACUCUACCAGUCUCUCCAUCCCCCCUACCCUGCUCUCCUCCAUCUCUACUCCCUCACUCUACCAGUCUCUCCAUCCCUCACUACCCUGCUCUCCUCCAUCUCUACUCCCUCACUCUACCAGUCUCUCCAUCCCUCACUACCCUGCUCUCCUCCAUCUCUACUCCCUCACCCUACCAGUCUCUCCAUCCCCCCUACCCUGCUCUCCUCCAUCUCUACUCCCUCACUCUACCAGUCUCUCCAUCCCUCACUACCCUGCUCUCCUCCAUCUCUACUCCCUCACUCUACCAGUCUCUCCAUCCCUCACUACCCUGCUCUCCUCCAUCUCUACUCCCUCACUCUACCAGUCUCUCCAUCCCUCACUACCCUGCUCUCCUCCAUCUCUACUCCCUCACUCUACCAGUCUCUCCAUCCCUCACUACCCUGCUCUCCUCCAUCUCUACUCCCUCACCCUACCAGUCUCUCCAUCCCCCCUACCCUGCUCUCCUCCAUCUCUACUCCCUCACUCUACCAGUCUCUCCAUCCCUCACUACCCUGCUCUCCUCCAUCUCUACUCCCUCACUCUACCAGUCUCUCCAUCCCUCACUACCCUGCUCUCCUCCAUCUCUACUCCCUCACCCUACCAGUCUCUCCAUCCCUCCUUACUCCCUCACUCUACCAGUCUCUCCAUCCCUCACUACCCUGCUCUCCUCCAUCUAUACUCUCUCACCCUACCAGUCUCUCCAUCCAUACAUCUGCAGAUCCUAUAGCAGAAAUAGAGACUCCCCCCCUCCCCCAAUAUCAAUUGGCAAAAAUAGUACAAUGAGAGGUCAAACUUGCCACCUCCCUCCUCCCUCCCUCACCUCACCCCCCCCUCCUCACUCACUCACCUCCUACCUCCCUCCUCCUCCCUCCCUCACCUCCCUCCCUCACCUCCUCCCUCACCUCCCUCCCUCCUCCCUCACCUCA
rnacentral:lncRNA from 1 species